rnacentral:lncRNA from 1 species
GCCGAACGACAAGUCCAGCUCGUCGGUGUCUUGGGCUGGCGAUAGCCCGAGCGAAGCGGAUGAAGCAGUCGGUGUUGCUGCUGUUCGCGAGGUCAACACCCCUAACUCGUCACUGAUGACGGCCACCCGGGCCACUCUUUCCACCUCUUCGUCCUCUGGUUGCAGCCACGAAUCCGGUUCCGGGUAGAGGUAUCGGUACAUGGCACUCUCUGUGCUCGGGAAAAGCUCCGUGCUGAUGUCGUCGAACUACGACCUCGGGCGGGUUCGGCCUCGUUUCCCUCGUCGUCGAACCCCUCGAACCGGCGUUGAUACUGAGGAACCCAGUCCCAGUCGUUUUGGCGUUCGUCUGCCCACUGUCGCCGCGGCUCCUCGAUCUCCUCGUCGUCCAUGGUCGUACUAAGUGCUGUGGGAUAUAAACCAGGUUAUAUCCCUGGGCCUAUGGACCGACUAUGCUCUACAGGACAAUAGUCUGGUGCGAUAUUUUAAACUUGAAAAUACCCUAACGAAAUAUUACUACCGAUGUUAUACAAUGUUAUACAAAACUAAUCCGCUUUGUGAGCGGCCCCAAAUUUACUUGCUAGUCCUGGCUGGUCGUCUUUCCUGCUGUUCCUAGUCGUCGUGUUGCUGGAAGGCCUUUCGGUCGGCUACCCCGGCGGUGCGCCGUUGUCCCGUCUCCGUGUGGCGAACUCUGGCUAUGUUGGGUGAAACGAAUUUGGUUACCUUAUACGGUCCCUCGUACUGUGGGGCUAACUUGGCGGCGAAGCCGUCGUUGGCUUUCGAUAGCACGUGUUGCUUCACUAGCACCAAGCUGCCAAUGAGUGGUCUCCAAUCGCGUGGUCGUAGGUUGUAGUGGCGGCCCUGUUCCGCCGAUGCUCGCUGUGUGUUGUCCCUUGCCGCCUACAAAACCUGGUACAGCUGUUUCGCCCUGGUUUCGGGAUCGGUAGCGACUAUUCCGGAUCCUGGCGUGACUUCCUCGUACAAUGCUCCUGGUAGUCUCGGCUCUCGUCCUUGGACCAGGAACGCCGGACUGAAUCCUGUUGUGUCGGACACGCUGCUAUUGAUUGCCAAUGAAAUCUCCGGUAGCAGGGUGUCCCAUGUACUAUGCGGUCC